UCUUGACAUCCACAGAACUUUCCAGAGAUGGAUUGGUGCCUUCGGGAACUGUGAGACAGGUGCUGCAUGGCUGUCGUCAGCUCGUGUUGUGAAAUGUUGGGUUAAGUCCCGCAACGAGCGCAACCCUUAUCCUUUGUUGCCAGCGGUCCGGCCGGGAACUCAAAGGAGACUGCCAGUGAUAAACUGGAGGAAGGUGGGGAUGACGUCAAGUCAUCAUGGCCCUUACGACCAGGGCUACACACGUGCUACAAUGGCGCAUACAAAGAGAAGCGACCUCGCGAGAGCAAGCGGACCUCAUAAAGUGCGUCGUAGUCCGGAUUGGAGUCUGCAACUCGACUCCAUGAAGUCGGAAUCGCUAGUAAUCGUGGAUCAGAAUGCCACGGUGAAUACGUUCCCGGGCCUUGUACACACCGCCCGUCACACCAUGGGAGUGGGUUGCAAAAGAAGUAGGUAGCUUAACCUUCGGGAGGGCGCUUACCACUUUGUGAUUCAUGACUGGGGUGAAGUCGUAACAAGGUAACCGUAGGGGAACCUGCGGUUGGAUCACCUCCUUACCUUAAAGAAGC
rnacentral:rRNA from 1 species